GAUUGUACAGUGCAGCUCUAGCACCAGCAUUUGUUCUGGUUUUGGUUUGGGGGGAAGAAGUUGGUAAGAAAAUAGUGUAUUGCAAAAGAAGCUGAGGGUUGUUCACUGUCAUUGUUUUCACAUGAAAAGUUUUUUGUCUAAGUGGUACACUUGUGUUCUUUAUUGCUGUGUCAUGUGUAGCUAUUUUACUGGAUACAAACUGACAUGAAACUGUGGCAUCUUGUCAGGUGGAAGCUGUUGCCUGGGGAGAAGAACAUGGAGUUCUUACAGUACAGGGUACUUGCAGUAACCCCCACCAUGAAGAGAAGCAGCCUAAAUUUUUCGAUGCCAGCUAAUGCCAUGAACAUGGAGAAGCAGCGGUUUGCAGUGUGCAGAUGGACACUGAUCAGCCUGCACUUGGUAGUCUGACUGAAGAUAAAGGUGGAGUCGUGCUCGGAGGUUACAAAAUCAGCAGUGGCACAUCUUGAAUGCUCUUCUGUGUAAGGUGAGGGGUAACUCUUCUUGCAGUGUUUUGCACAUGAUGUAUCUGACAACUUGUCUUCAACAAUAUUCUGCUGCAUGGCUGGGAUAUUCACAGUUCAGUGUCAUGGGCUUUAGUCUCUCUGCAACAAAAUCAGAAUCAGCCUGUAGUAAACAUUUCUCUUAAUACCGCAGUAAACUGGUGGGUUAGCAGAUGGUUUCUGCUGCAUUUGGAUGCCCUUUUCACUGCUUUUCUGUGAGUAGGUCAUACCAGCUGAUGUAGGUGCUUGUGGUAAGUUCUCUGCCACCAGCUGCAGGGGCGUGUGUUUCUUUUGCUCCUUUCCUUUUUUUGUGAGCAGGUGAUUUGGGGUCAAAAACUGGAAAAUAGGAAAUUAUUUAUAGGGCUUUUAUCACUGUAAUGUUCUAAUUAAGUGAUCUCUUGGUCUUUCUUUUUCAUUAUUGCAGUUUUACAAACUAAAUUAGGAAAAAAAAAAAAAGAUAAAAAAUAUUGCAAUCUCUGGUAGUUCUUGAAGCAGAAGUUCCAGAUCAAUAAAGUAUACAGACCAGCACGUGCA
rnacentral:lncRNA from 1 species